rnacentral:lncRNA from 1 species
AGGCAGGGCUCCAAGCUGUGUCUCUUUGCCUGACAAAGUAAUCCUGGUUUUAGACAGCAGUUCUGCUAAGGAGCCUUGCUUGUCCGGGAAGGGGUGGCAACCAGCCCUCGGGAUGGAGAUGGAAAUGAAGAUAGACAGGACCCCAGGGCUGCUGGUAGAGGGCAGGGGAGGUGAAGGGCUACAGUGUAGCAACCAGGCUUCCUCUGAGAACUCAAGGCUAACCACCUGCAGACAUGAGCUCAGCACCAGAUGUAGCUCUCAGCUAUUGCUCCAGUGCCUGCCUGCAUGCUGACAUGCUCUCCACCAUGAGGAUAAGGGAUUAAAGCUCUGAAACGCCUUCAGCUGAAGAUGUAGAACUCAGCUCUGCCUGAAUCAUGCCUGCCUGGACACAGCCAUGCUCCUGCCUUGAAGAUAACGGACUGAACCUCUGAACCUGUACGCCAGCCUCAAUUAAAUGUUGUCCUUAUAAGAGUUGCC